GACGAACGCUGGCGGCGUGCUUAACACAUGCAAGUCGAACGGAAAGGCCCUGCUUGCAGGGUACUCGAGUGGCGAACGGGUGAGUAACACGUGGGUGAUCUGCCCUGCACUUCGGGAUAAGCUUGGGAAACUGGGUCUAAUACCGGAUAGGACCGCACUUUAGUGUGUGUGGUGGAAAGUUUUUUCGGUGUAGGAUGAGCUCGCGGCCUAUCAGCUUGUUGGUGGGGUAAUGGCCUACCAAGGCGGCGACGGGUAGCCGGCCUGAGAGGGUGUACGGCCACAUUGGGACUGAGAGAGGGCCCAGAGUCCUACGGGAGGCAGCAGGGGGGAAUAUUGCACAAUGGGCGCAAGCCUGAUGCAGCGACGCCGCGUGGGGGAUGAAGGCCUUCGGGUUGUAAACUCCUUUCGCUAGGGACGAAGCUUUGUUGUGACGGUACCUAGAGAAGAAGCACCGGCUAACUACGUG
rnacentral:rRNA from 1 species